CACCAGAAAAUUUGACAGAAUCAGCGACUAUAAAAACACCAGCAGCAACAAAAACAACAGUGAGUGCUUGUAGCACGUGCAGACAAAACCACAUGAUUCGAAGCAUCGUCGUAAUUGGGUAAUAACAACAGCUCUGACCAGAGCGCAUUAGAAGGUUCAAAAAGUAAAUUAGCAUAGAGUUUUAGCCUUGAUGUGAAACUAGCAUCGUUUCUAUUUCUCUCUGUAGAACUGUAUUUCUGCAUUGGGCUUGUAUUACUUUGUAAUUAAUGUUUUCAAGGAACUAACUUUGGUCAUAUAAAUGUGGAAAAAACUACACAAAAGUGAAACACUGAAAUGAUAACAAGCAGGUAAGAAAAUGAGUCUUUUCCCCUCCUUUACACACUUUGUGUAAUAUUGUUACUACUUUUACAUUUUAAAGGGUUUUUUUGGAUGUAUGUUGAUCUAGAAAAAAUAAUAUCAGUUCAAAAAACAAAAAUAGUAAGAUGUAGUGCGACAUGGGGGAGGUCAGCUUUCCUUUCGAGCCUGCAUUAGUGGUCUGUUUAACGACUUGUUCACUUUUCCUCUUAGGGCACUGCCCAAAGGACAAGCAUGGUAUGAUAGGCCUGAGUAGACAGAUCAACUUGGAAGAAGUUUUUUGAAAUACAACUAUUAAUUUUUUUUUUUUUUUUUUUU